rnacentral:rRNA from 1 species
AGUGAACGCUGGCGGUAGGCCUAACACAUGCAAGUCGAACGGCAGCACAGGAGAGCUUGCUCACGGGGUGGCGAGUGGCGGACGGGUGAGGAAUACAUCGGAAUCUACUCUGUCGUGGGGGAUAACGUAGGGAAACUUACGCUAAUACAGUAUACGACCUACGGGUGAAAGCAGGGCACCUUCGGUCCUUGCGAGAGUGAAUGAGCCGAUGUCGGAUUAGCUAGUUGGCGGGGUAAAGGUCCACCAAGGCGACGAUCCGUAGCUGGUCUGAGAGGAUGAUCAGCCACACUGGAACUGAGACACGGUCCAGACUCCUACGGGAGGCAGCAGUGGGGAAUAUUGGACAAUGGGCGCAAGCCUGAUCCAGCCAUACCGCGUGGGUGAAGAAGGCCUUCGGGUUGUAAAGCCCUUUUGUUGGGAAAGAAAUCCAGCUGGCUAAUACCCGGUUGGGAUGACGGUACCCAAAGAAUAAGCACCGGCUAACUUCGUGCCAGCCGCCGCAGUAA